rnacentral:rRNA from 1 species
GACGAACGCUGGCGGCGUGCUUAACACAUGCAAGUCGAGCGGUAAGGCCCUUUCGGGGGUACACGAGCGGCGAACGGGUGAGUAACACGUGGGUGACCUGCCCUUAGCUCUGGGAUAAGCCGUGGGAAACUGGGUCUAAUACCGGAUAUGACUCCAUGACGCAUGUUGUGGGGUGGAAAGCCUUGUGCGGCUAGGGAUGGGCCUGCGGCCUAUCAGCUUGUUGGUGGGGUGAUGGCCUACCAAGGCGACGACGGGUAGCCGGCCUGAGAGGGCGACCGGCCACACUGGGACUGAGACACGGCCCA